UACAGAGACUGCGAGCGUUAUUCGGAUUCACUGGGCGUAAAGGGUGCGCAGGUGGCCAAGUGUGUUAGGCGUGAAAGCCCGGGGCUUAACCCCGGAAUUGCACCUAAAACUACUUGGCUAGAGCAUUGGAGAGGGGAGCAGAAUUCAUGGUGUAGCAGUGAAAUGCGUAGAGAUCCGGAGGAACACCAGCGGCGAAGGCGGCAUCCUGGACUGGUCCUGACACUCAUGAGCGAAAGCGUGGGGAGCGAUCCGG
rnacentral:rRNA from 1 species